rnacentral:rRNA from 1 species
CACGUAGGGCGCAAGCGUUGUCCGGAAUUAUUGGGCGUAAAGAGCUCGUAGGCGGUCUGUUACGUCUGCUGUGAAAACCCGGGGCUCAACCCCGAACUUGCAGUGGGUACGGGCAGACUAGAGUGUGGUAGGGGAGACUGGAAUUCCUGGUGUAGCGGUGAAAUGCGCAGAUAUCAGGAGGAACACCGGUGGCGAAGGCGGUUCUCUGGGCAUGAUCUGACGCUGAGGAGCGAAAGUGUGGGGAGCGAACAGG